CUAUUCUUUACUAACGUUAUUAGAGCCUAAUUGUGAAUGUCGACUUUAUUUGAAACUCAAAUGGAGAACCGUGUGAGAGACAUGUAUGAAGGAGUGAAUCGUGAAGGAAUGACUAAAGCUCAGCGCAAAAGGUUUUGCAGUGAAAAGCUAAGUAAAAAUCGCAAUGUUCUAUUUAGAAUAUAUAAACAAGGUCAUCUACAUAUACUGCAAUUCAAUUCUAUUCACUUGGACGAGUGGGUGGAGUGCUUUAAAUCAUACCGGCAACUUAAAUUUCAGCAUAAUCCUACACGUAAUGCGUUCAGUCUCUGCAGUCAGUCAAGUGAAUUGCAAAAGUUUUGCAACGAAUACAAUCAAAACUUGGAAAUGGUUGAAGACACCGUCGCCGCCUGUAAUUGGCGCUGCGUCUACACGGCGUCAGACACGACCUCCGUCUAUGGCGCGUAGCGUACUCCGUCCGUGCCAAAACCAAACAUCUUUACGACCGCGCACCAUAUCCUCAAGCGUUGACGCCGGCGUCCCGUGUAAUUGCCGCGGCGUCAACAGUCGCCACCGGACACCACCUUCGGCGAGAAAAUGUUGAAUAUCGCAUUUCUCUUGUCCAAAUAAAUCUAAAUUCAAUAAUGAUAUGGUCUCUGUCUCAGUUAUUUAGUUAUUAUUAGAGGUCAACUAAUAAUGGAUUUUACUGAUAAAUGUAACUAGGUUGGACUGCACUGGCUGAUAACCGAUUAGUUCGUUUUAAAAUGGAUACUAAAUGAAGAAAAAUUGUAGGUAAAAUAGUGCUGAACUUGCAUUUUUUUUUUUUUAAGUGCUAAAAAUAACAAUGUAGUGUAAUUUUUAAAUAUACACACAUUAAUAUAUAAUUGUACCUAUGAUAAUAUAUUAAUUCCCUUCACUCAUGAUUGUUCAUAAUGCAUUAACUAACAGAUACAACUUUAAAAUGUAGAACUAUAUCGGUAAAUGUUGAAAUUAACAAGGAACAAUAUGCAUUUAUUAAUGUUUGUAUCUUAUUGUAAAGUUUUAUCUUGUCAUGUUGUUGUUUUUUGUGAGUGGUACAUCUGCUCCUUACAGGCCAGCAGCAAGUUGUUAGUUUUGUUUCACAGCAGACCAGAGAGCCAUUUAUGGAGCCGUGCUGAAGUCCUCCAGGACUGAGAUGGGUGUCAUCAAACCAGUAAAUACCAGUAUUGGGUGGGUUUUAUGGACCGCAACCUGCGAUUAAACUUAUGAUGAUCCGUCAUGUGACUUUCUGUUUAACCACCUGUGUUAUGGUUGAAUUUCGAAGAUGACAUCACCAUAACAAUUGAUGGUGUGGAGCUGUUAAUCUUCAUCAUUAGUCUACUUCACAUCACAUGUGUCCCGAUAUCCAUCAGCAUCUUAUUGUUUGUGUCUUGCCAGAGGAGGAUGGCACCCUCAGUUGAGUCUGGUUCCUCUCAAGGUUUUCCCUCCACUGCCUAAACCUCUUAUGGAGGGUUUUUUCCUUGCCACUGUCGCCUUUGGCUUGCUCACUGGGGGCUUUGAGGCACAACUUUGUUUAGCUCUUUUGAAAUUAAAAUGUCUAUACAACUUCAUUUGACCUUCAUGAUGUAGGAGAUUUUCUUACUCAAACUGGGAAAAUCUCUUCAUUUCAAGACUUUUCCAUAGUUGUGUUCAAGGAAGCAAAGGAAGGUUCAAGGGAACUUUUUUAAAAACCUCUUUAAACAUUAUUUGUUUUAUUUGUCUGGUUAAUUUUUUUUUUUUUUACAUUUUUUACAUUUAUUGUAUUUUUACUAACAUUUUCCAUUACUGUUAAACAAACUUUGUGAUGCAUUUUCAUGCACUUAUUUUAAUGAUAAAAGACUGUAAAAAUGCUACAAACCGGUAAUUGUUUAACAGUAUGUUUCCUUACUGUAACAGAUCUAACCUUACAUUUAAUGUAAUUUUAUAGUAAAAUACUAUUAUUUACAGUUUUGGAAGUAAAAAACAAGUAAUCUUCUUGUUUUGUGUGUUACCAUGAUGGUGUUUUUGUAUUCGUGUGUGUGUGUGUAAACAUGCAUAUCUUUGU